rnacentral:lncRNA from 1 species
GAUGUCAUGGUGUGAUCCCAAAGCUAAUGCACAUGAUGAGAUAGCAUGAGGGAUCUUAGGGUCAAAAUUGGGGUCUUACAAGCGCCAUGUCGACAUUGUACUUGUACUACCUAAUGAAAGGUUCACCUAGAUCAUUGAAUAUAUGACUAUUGGCACUAUCCAAGUUUAUGUACCACUUGAGAGCGGCACCAGUCAGACUAUCUUGAAAAUAGUGUAUUAGCAACUGGUGGUUGUCAGUUUUAGUGGACAUUUUUCGGGCAUACAUAGUUAAGUUGCUCCUCG